rnacentral:rRNA from 1 species
AUUGAACGCUGGCGGCAGGCCUAACACAUGCAAGUCGAGCGCGCGGCGGACGGGUGCGUAAUGUAUGGGGACUUCCCGAUAGAGGGGGAUAACUACUGGAAACGGUAGCUAAUACCGCAUACUAUCGGAUCACCCAUAUGGGAUUAGCUGGUAGGUGAGGUAAUGGCUCACCUAGGCGACGAACCCUAGCUGGUCUGAGAGGAUGAUCAGCCACCCUUGGACUGAGACACUGCCCAGAAUCCGACGGAGGCAGCAGUGGGCAAUCUUGCCCAAUGGGCGCAAGCCUGAUGCAGGCAUGCCGCGUGAAUGAAGAAGGCCCAAGGGUUGUAAAGUACUAUCAGUCGAGAGGCGUUACCGACAGAAGAAGCACCGGCUAACUCCGUGCCAGCAGCCGCGGUAAUAC